CGUGUCUGUGGAACUGAAUAGAGCAGAAGCAACAUACUGAAGAGUGAAAAUGGAGGUGGUGAGGGUCAAGAGGACCAGCAGUGGCCCUCUGCCAUGUAAAGCCAUUUGGAGAUUAUUCUCAGGUCAUUGUGAAGUCAAAGAAAGACUUUAAAUGGGGUACAGGGUCACAUACAUAUGUCCAGAAGGCUGACAGAGAAGGAGGAGUGGGAGCUGUAACACAGAUCCAGGCCUCAUCAGAAGUGGGAGCAUGCAGAUUAGAUACACAGAGGAGAACCACAUGAAGACAGGCAGAGACUGGAGUUAUGCAGCUUCAAGCCAAACAAUGCCUCACGUCACCAGAAGCUG